GCGAUUCAUGGGGUCACAAAGAGUCGGACACGACUGAGCAACUGAAUUGAGCUGAACUGAAGGGGACUCAUCUUCCUAGUGUCCAGUGCUGUUCUGCCCAAUAUAUGUUGAACUGCUCAUACCCCAGGGGAUCUUCCCAACCCAGGGAUUGAACCCAUGUCUUCUGCAUCAGGAUUCUUCACCAUUGAGCCACCAGGGAAGCCCAAUGAAGAUGUUAAAGAGUAUCAGAGAGCCUUGGUGAGCCUGGACCUCAAAAGGAUUAAAAGCACAGAGCUGCCCCAUCAGACAUCUACAUAAUCUCUUAGAGAAAAUCAGUAACCAGAAACUGUAGAGGCCAGAACUAUAGCUUAUGUGAAAUUCUCCAUGUUUCUUAUUAUUUCUGUUUUGUUUUCUGCAAGCAUUAUUGAAAAAUUCACAUAACAAAAGGGGUUGUAAUAUAGUUAUCAUGGAUUGUGUGUGUGUUGGAUAUAACUGACUGGUACUCAGUAUCUAUUUCCAUCAUGUUUGGGUGGUUUCCUGUACUGCCGAUACUGGAAAGCAGGAAAAUACAUUUGUUUGACUCUUCUGGAUGGAUUUUAUUAUGUACAUAUUGGUUUAUAUGUCGAAAGCAGAAGUGAAGUGGAAGCCUUCUACUAUUUGGCAGAUUUUCUGCUGGUGAACAAG
rnacentral:lncRNA from 1 species